CACGUAGGCACCAAGCGUUAUCCGGAUUUAUUGGGCGUAAAGAGCUCGUAGGUGGUUCGGUAAGUCGGAUGUGAAAUCUCCAGGCUCAACCUGGAGGGGUCAUUCGAUACUGCCGUGACUAGAGGUCGGUAGGGGAGUGUGGAAUUCCUGGUGGAGCGGUGAAAUGCGCAGAUAUCAGGAGGAACACCCGUAGCGAAGGCGGCACUCUGGGCCGAUACUGACACUGAGGAGCGAAAGCGUGGGGAGCGAACAGG
rnacentral:rRNA from 1 species